UAGUUGGUCUCCCUUUCCUGAACAAGGCUUCGAGGAAGAUUGUUGAGCUUAAUUUUCAGUCUCUGUUAGAUGAGGAUAGAGCUCCUCCUUCCUCCCUUUUAGUUCAUAAGCUUAUUUUUCAGUACAUUGAGGAUCAAGAAUCCUGGAAGGAGCAAUGUACGUCACAGCAUCAAGUACCCCAGAUGCUUCAAGAACUUUCACUGGUUGUGAACCAUUGCAGACUCCUUGGAGAGGAGAUUGAAUUUUUAAAGAGAUGGGGACCAAAUUAUAACCUAAUGGACAUAGAUGUAAAGAAUACUGAGUUGAGGCUUUUAUUCUCCAGCUCUGCAGCAUUUGCUAAGUUUGAGAUAACUUUGUCUCUCUCAGCCCAUUAUCCAUUGGUACCAAUACCCUUCACCAUUCAAAAUCACCUUGGGAACACUGGCCAUGAUGAGAUUGCUACCAUUAUAUCUAAAGUGCCAUUAGAGGACAAUUACCUGAAGAAUGUAGUCAAGCAAAUUUAUCAAGUUUUACUUCGGGACUGCCAUUUCUACUGCUAGACCCACAGACCAUAGCUGUAACAUCCAGGACACAUGUACUUAGCUGGACAUAAUGCACAUACCUAUAAU